rnacentral:rRNA from 1 species
GGAGUCUAGCAUGUGCGCGAGUCAUUGGGAUAUUACUAAACCUAAAGGCGCAAUGAAAGUGAAGGUCCGCCUUGCGCGGACCGAGGGAGGAUGGGCGGCCGUUCCGGCUGCCGCCUCGCACUCCCGGGGCGUCUCGUUCUCAUCGCGAGAAGAGGCGCACCAAGAGCGUACACGCUGGGACCCGAAAGAUGGUGAACUAUGCCUGGUCAGGACGAAGUCAGGGGAAACCCUGAUGGAGGUCCGUAGCGAUUCUGACGUGCAAAUCGAUCGUCGGAACUGGGUAUAGGGGCGAAAGACUAAUCGAACCAUCUAGUAGCUGGUUCCCUCCGAAGUUUCCCUCAGGAUAGCUGGCGCUCGUAGCGCACGAGUUUCAUCCGGUAAAGCGAAUGAUUAGAGGCAUUGGGGUCGAAACGGCCUCAACCUAUUCUCAAACUUUAAAUGGGUGAGAUCUCCGGCUUGCUCGAACUAUUGAAGCCGCGAGACUCGAAUCAGAGUGCCAAGUGGGCCAUUUUUGGUAAGCAGAACUGGCGCUGUGGGAUGAACCAAACGCCGAGUUAAAGCGCCUAAAUCGACGCUUAUGGGAUACCAUGAAAGGCGUUGGUAACUUAAGACAUCAGGACGGUGGCCAUGGAAGUC